AAAGAGCAGGAGUCAAGUGAGCUCACAAAAGAAGUUCCAGGAUGUGGCUGUAACAACAAACUCAUCUUGGCAAUAUCUGUAACUGUAGCAGUGACGAUUUUGGUUACAAUUCUCUGUCUCAUUGAGAACAGAUUUAUUCUCAUAGAAUUGCAAAAGGGGAAGAUAAAAAAAGCAGCAGAAGAUAAAUAUUGGUCUUUUAAAGCAGAAUUUUACAACUAGAGGAGAACUUAGAACUCAUCUAUUUCAAUUUCCUCACCAAAGGCAGGAAGAAUGUUUAAUUACCCUAAUGGUUUACCCUAAUUUAUUUAUCAGCAGAAUUAGCUCCCCAGCCCAAGCUGAGUUAGAACAGGACUGGCACAGAUUCAUCUGCUUUCACUAGUCCUUUAAGGAAAGAGGGUGGACGGGGAGAGGUUUUGGUUGUACCUGUUCCUGCUGGCCUGGUGCCUGGUUCCUAGGCAUCAGGCCAGGCCAGAGGCCUUCUAGGAGGCUCUGCGGUAGGGAGGGCCACAUGGUUGGGGAUUUAGGGGCUGGCCUCACUCAAAGCUGACGAAAGGUAGAACCUAUGAGUCCCUUCUGUAAAGUGGCAAGAAAACUUCCCUUCUCACCCUACUGUUUUUCAGGCCCCCACUCUCUAUUCCCUUUAUCCAAACCUCAUAGAAUUUUAACCGGGAGAAACUUUAGACAGCAGUUUGUCUCUUUCUUUUAUAAUAAGGAAAUGGAGAAAGAGAAAGGGAAAAUAUCUUGCCCCAUGGUCAUACUGCUAGUGAUUAUCAAAAAGAAGAUGGUCCCUUUCCACUGAGGACUUCUCUGCUGAUGACACUGUGCUUGGGCUGUGAGCUCCGUUUUAUGUCACAAUUCAGUAUACAAAUACUAUAUGGGCAUAAGUAGUUUCUGACACUAACUUAUUGUGCACUCUGAUUUUUUUCUAUUCUAUUUGUAUUCAAAAAGAGUAUUUUGUGUUUCCCUGCUGGUCAUGGCCUUUAAACUGAUAUCACAAUUCACUGACACCUCAGUGACAGCCUGCAAUAUGAAAGUCAGAGAGCUAUAGAUAACUUUGCUAGUUGGGUUCAGGUGUUUACUUGGUGUGAUUCAACUUAUAGGAUAGGAUGGAGCAGCCAGGAAAAUAAAAGCACCUUCUCCCCACAGCCACACCCCCAGCAAAUGCUGCAUGUGCGACUAAGUCCGAAGCAGACUGGUGUGAAGCGCAUGUAGAGAGUAACGAGUUUCUGCCCAGCGCCGCUGUGCAGUGUUUUCUCUGCACGAGGGCUCUUGGCCAAGGCCCAAGAAAGGUGAACGGGGCUGAAAAUCCUGCCUAUACUCCAUGCUAAGCCACGUGCAAAGGUCUCCCCAGAGACACGGGGGGGCCAUUUUGGACAGACACAGAGAACUUCUGGAAGGCCAGCAUGCAUGGGAUGAUUUUCAAGAUCCCGGGUGUGUGGUGAUUUUGCUCAUUGUGAUUAUGGACUGAGGUACCCAUUUAGUCCUAAUAAGACCAGAGAUAACACAUUGUGAGAGAGAUGAUAAAUGACCUGGAACACUAACUGUGUGUGUUUUCCUCCAAGGGGCUUUUUUCGAUUUCUGCUGCAUAAGAGAAGCUCAGGGGGAAGUGAGAGUCAGGUAAAUUUGAGGGGGAUAUAGUACUGUGGCCAGAGAAAGCAGGGGAGAUGCUGAAUUAAUAUUUCCCUUUCCGAGUUCCAGGAGGGCUUUUUCGGGAGAAGGCGGCCACUUUGGCUUAGGGAUAUGUAUAGGCCUCUCAACGCCACACGCAAGGAAAACAUGGCACAGAAGCUACACGACAGGGAGUCUUCUGAUGAGGAUAAGAUAUUCUAUAAGGAUGCAGGGUAAAUAAUAGAGGACAAUUUAAAAUUCUCCUCUAAAAUGAGGAAAUAAUGAAAACUAUAAUUGUUCCUUUCCAAAGUAAAAGCCUUGGCAUUAUUCUUCGUACCCCAGGGAAGUCAUCAAAGCCCCAGCAGAGAAGCUUCUGGCUGCAUAUUGGGUUGAUGAAGGGGCGGGUGAGGAAAGUGAGACAGCACACGAGACAGCCACAGAGUGAGCCCUGUUCUGCCUCAAGCCACCUGCAAAUUUUAUUUUCUAAUAUUGGCUUCUCAGCAUUGCUUGCAAAAUACUUAUUUUUCUCAUACUAAAAUGUAUAAAUUCAUAGCCAAGUCUAACCAUGUGGUAAGGAAUUAAAAUGUAAAUAGUUGAAUAUUUAUACACCACUAACAAGGGCCUGCAAGAAGAAGCAGAGCUGAAACUAGAAUCCCUCAUGGUAGCCAGUACUUCCACAAGAGGAAAUGUGGGCUAAGGAGGAUGAGUAGAAGGAUGAAGAGGGGCUUCCCUCCCUUGUUUCCCCAGUAUCAUCAGUCCCUGGGAACUGGAAAACAUACCAUCCUCAAGGGGCAUAGAUCAUUAAAUCAAAUAGCAAUUUAUUCUGGUGCUCUCUCUCCUGGUUCAUCAAGUACCAGUUAUUUACAACAUACUCGACCUCCUGCCCAUAGAGGAUCAUCUACUUCUGGCCCCUCUCGUACGGUCAUUGUGGUUGCCAGAAUAUUUGGAUCACUGGGUCUCCCUCCACUGUGGAGCCAAGGCCUGACUUUUCUCCCAAGUUCUCAAACUCAUGUACAAAUGUGUACCCUGUCUUGGUAGGGGGUUCUCCACCAUUUCAAGCUGGUGGAAAAUUCCCAUUGGGUUGUUUUUUUCUUUAAAAAGAAAUCCCAACCCUUGGAUAACUAGCAGGGAGGUACCAGAAAGACAGGGUAAAGAAGAAUGUGUGAGAGCAGUCAUAGCCCAAGACGGCCCUCCUCAGGCCCUGGCCUCUCCUGACCCCACUGAGGGUCAGCUGUGUGCUGCUCGGCUCCCUCCAGCUCAGCCCAGCACCAAACCUACCCACCUCCUGCCUCACCCAGCACAGGCCCAGGGCUGCAUGAUUCCAAGUGCUCAUAUAGUGACAGUGCCACCUGCGGAAGGUGCAAAGGCUCUUCCACUCCUGCCAAGAAAGUCAUUAAUCACAUUUCUUAAGUCAGUGAGAGUUAAAUACAUUAAUGAGUAAAAGAAAUUCUGAAUGAACAAGAUUUGAUAAUCUACCAAAAUGACCACAGAUAGUGCUGGUGGUUUAGUAAUAUGAGGUGAAGAACUGUGCAAGCCAUGGGGUGAUAGCACACGGUCCCCCAGAGGAUCAGUGGGCCUGGGAGAUGGCCCAGCAGGUUCUGCCAGUUGGGUGGGGUUCCAAGCAAAGUGAACGGCCCAUCAGUUCUUCUGAGUUAUGAAUUUGCUGAUGCUGCAUGAGAGACAUCUGUUCUCUCAGUGCCUGCCCAAGUCACCUCCCAAAGGUUCUUACUGAGAAUGAAAAACAAGUGUUUUUCUCUGGGCGGUGACUUCAGUGAGCCAACAAGUAUUUACUGUGUUUAAGGCGCACGACUAUUACUACUAACAAUAGGAAGCAGCAGCAGCUAACAUUUAUCACUUGCUUGCUUGGUGCCAAACCCUGGGUUAGGCAUCUUAUGGUCUUAUUUAGCCCAACAGUCCGUGGAAGCAUAUCUUGUUAGCCUCGUUUGACAGAUAGGAAACAGGAUUUAAAGAAUGUAGGUAACCUGCUCAAGGACCCAAGGCCGCACGUCCAAAAGUGUGAGUUAAGGUUGGAGCCCAGAACUGUUAGACUCCAACAGGGAUGCAGAGAAGUAUAAGCUGUGUUUGCCACCAAAGAGUUGAUAACAAUGAUAAUAAUGAGGAGAAGGAGGCAGCUGUUUAUUGAGCACCUGCUAUGGACCAGGUACAGUACUAGGUACUUUGGUUACACUAUUAGGUCACAAGAAUGGAAAGUCCCCAUGCCCGCUCAAACUCUGUAAUGAGUGGGGGUCUGAUUUCAGUAAGAGAGGUGGUCACAAAGACAGGGAGCUGACGAGAAACCAGGGGUAGAGAUCCUUGUACUGCUGGGCUUCCCAAAGUGUGGACCACGAUUCCAGGUAGCUCCAGGUUCCUAGUUUGGGAUAUUUCCAUUAUUUCAAAGUUGGUACAUAAAUGAGGCUUAGAUAAUAUUUUUUGUAUCAUACUACCUCAGAUUUGCACAAUUUUUUAUUAGUCUCAAAUGCUACCCUACCAUAUUUCUAAAUUAAAAUUGCCAAGAGUAAGAUUCUGCUUGGCCCAGCUUGACCGAGAUUGGGCAGUCUUUUUGCCAGAGCCAGAGACUUCACCUGGCCAGCCUGUGAGUGAGCUGUCUCUCCUUGGAUCAGGGAGUCAUCCCUGGCUGUGGCCCAGAAGCAGGAGGGGUGCCCAGGGUCAGGUGGUACAACACAUGGCCGCCUGGGGCUGCCUCUGUCACCAUCUUAUGAUGGACAAACUAGCUCAGAGCCCAACUCCUUACUGAGACCUGAGAGAUAGAAGGGGAGAGGGAGAUACAAGGCCAACAGCUACUAAAUGAAUGCAAAUUCUGAUUCCGAUGAAAUCUGUCAGAGAAUUUCGCCACUUUUUAAAAGAUAAUGAAAUGAGACAAUACAUGAUUAGGGCAAAAAUGAUACAGGGAAGAAAAUUGUAGGAUUCAGAGGAGGGAAGGUUAGGAAACUAGGGAGGGUCCAUGAAAAAGGUAGAACUUGAUCUGGGCCUGGAUUAUAUGCCAGACACUGUGGCUGGUGCUGGGGAAAGAGUUGAUUAGGACAAAGUCCCUUCUCUUGUGGGGCCUUAAGACUGAGAGGAGGCACAGACACCUGAAGACAUAUUAUACAGAGAAGAGAGUGUGUUGACAUGACAAUGGCAGUGUACCAAGAAGUGGUUCAGCUCUUGGUUGGCUGGAAAGGAGUAAAUGUGAGGGAUGGCUUAGAGGAGGGGAAGAAGAAGAAAGCCAAACAGAAGUUUCUUGGGAGGACGAGAUGAAGGAAAGGCAUUCUAGACGGAGGACAGUACAGAGGCAAGAAGCAUGAAACCUUGGGUGGGCUUGAAGCGUGUGCAGUCUGGUGUUGCCAAGCAUGAAGCACAAGGAGGAAAGGGCAGUACGUGAGGCUGUGCGGGCGAGCAGAGACCCAAUCCCAAAGGGCCUGGUCAAGGCGCAUGGCCUUGACCAAACAGAGCACAAACUACAAUGUUUUAAAUAGAGAAGAGACAUGACCAAGCUUGAGUUUUAUAAAGGGUACUUUGAUGGUGGCCUAAAAGUAGAGAGGCUGAGAGGUCAACUUGGGUGUUUAGACCAAGUAGGAACUGGGAGAAAAUGGGGCACCAGCCCAGAGGUUUUGAUGCAACUGAAGAGCAUGUACGCUGGAUACACAUGAGUGAGAACUGGAAGGACAAGAGCUUAUGUUCAGAGAAUGAAAGAUUGUACAUUUAAGAUUUUUUAUGACAAAUUCCAGAUGAUGAUAAGGUCGAAAUGUAACCUGGGAAUGGAGAUCAGUGAGGUGUUGGGAAUCCAGAAGGUGAUGAGAAAUAAUUCGGAUAGUCCUGGACACUCAUUCCUUUCCCCUUUCAGUAGCUCAGUAAAAAGCUAGCUCAGCAGGUACCAGCGAACUCAAUGGAAAAAAUAGGCUCCCCCUCCUACUGCGACCAUUUCUAUCACCAAGCAGUUGCCACUGUUAGUAGUAUAGACGUUCCCUGCCUCACCAUCCCUGUAACUGUGACGCACUCCAGGCUGGCUCCUUCUCUACGGGAACUCUGGUCAUGGGACACACAAUCCAGCUAAGUCUGGUCUAAUCCCCUUCUCUGAAAGCUUGAGGGAUUGAGUGCACCCUGUUAUUGUUCUGCUUAUAAGUUCCCCCCGCCCUGAACAAUAAAACCCUACUGUAUAUUUGCACAGUAGGGGGUUGAGGAAUUUCGUGCCCAGGAAAAUCUGUGGGUAGUUGGCAUGGUAAGUAUUGUGGUAGAUGUGGAACCUAGAAAAAUGGUACAGAUGAGCCGGUUUGCAGGGCAGAAGUUGAGACACAGAUGUAGAGAACAGACAUAUGGACACCAAGGGGGGGAAACUGCGGUGGGGUGGGGAUGGUGGUGUGCUGAAUUGGGCGAUUGGGAUUGACAUGUAUACACUGAUGUGUAUAAAAUUGAUGACUAAGAACCUGCAGUAUAAACAAACAAACAAACAAAACAACUAAUACUAAACUUUCAUUGGGUUAUUUGUAUGGAAAUAUGUUAAUACAAAUGUUUCAGACAUUACAUGAAAUUUCUAAAAAUCUUAUACGUUCUGGUAUCAUGUUAUGUCAUAAUCCUAGUUAUUAAAAUGUAUAUCUCAGAAAUAACUAAUUUUCUUGUCAACUGCAUUAUUAUGAACUUUCAUCAGAUCUUUAACCGUGGUCAUUUUUAAGUCUUUUGUCAUUUACAGACAGUUCUGGGUGUACUGUGAUGCUUUUGCAAAUAUGUUCCUAUAAAAGGGUUUCAUCUUCAAGAAAUUCAUGGAAAAGACUCUGACAAGUACAGGUUUCUGGUAACUGACUGUACUGCUGAACUGAAUGAAUAAGCAUUUUCAGAACUCUAAUGAAAAACUGAUGAACUCAUAAAAGUGCUAACAAAAGGUCAAGAUGGAAAAAAAAAUUAAUUACAUGGCACUGAGUGAACUGAUGAGGAUGAGUAUAAUUUUUGUGACUUUCUGUUUGAAUUUUAAAAAAUAAAAAAAUAAAAAU